CUUCAUAGGAAUACUGCUCAAAUGUUCCUCAAGUACAAGUUCAUGGACUGGUUAAAGGAAAUUUUCAUCAGUUGGAUAAAAUGAAAAACAAGCAGGGAAGUGAGGAUUGCGUACUUCAGAAGAAGAUUCCUACUGUAUGGCAACUCUGAGUGGGAGAAAAUGUUGAACCUUAAUGUCUUUGGACUUUAAUUGACCAAAGUCAAAACCUUUCAUCUUUGAAAGUCAACCUGUCUUUGGAAAUGUCACCAUUGAGAUCUUUGGAAACAAAAACCAACCAAACAAAAUGCCUCUGCUGGAGUGGGGAAGGGAUUCCCGUUUGCUAGGAGAUUCAGCCUGCCUUCUGUGAUCUGGUUCCUGCAUCUCUAGGCUUUUCUGUGUCUGCAUUUCACCUUGGAUGCCUUCCUGUCAUAUUGAGCUGAUUGCAGAGCCCUGAACA